rnacentral:rRNA from 1 species
UACAGAGACUGCAAGCGUUAUUCGGAUUCACUGGGCGUAAAGGGUGCGCAGGCGGCCAAGUGUGUUAGGCGUGAAAGCCCGGGGCUUAACCCCGGAAUUGCACCUAAAACUACAUGGCUAGAGCAUUGGAGAGGGGAGCAGAAUUCACGAUGUAGCAGUGAAAUGCGUAGAUAUCGUGAGGAAUACCAGAGGCGAAGGCGGCUCCCUGGACAAUUGCUGACGCUCAGGCACGAAAGCGUGGGGAGCAAAAGGG